rnacentral:sRNA from 1 species
GAGAGCUCACGCGGUUCCUAGGGAUGG